UACGAGGGGGGCGAGCGUUGUUCGGAAUUACUGGGCGUAAAGCGUGCGCAGGCGGUUUUGUAAGUCUGUCGGGAAAUCCCCGGGCUUAACCUGGGAAUGGCGAUGGAGACUGCAAGGCUAGAGUUUGGCAGAGGGGGGUAGAAUUCCACGUGUAGCAGUGAAAUGCGUAGAGAUGUGGAGGAACACCGAUGGCGAAGGCAGCCCCCUGGGUCAAAACUGACGCUCAUGCACGAAAGCGUGGGGAGCAAACAGG
rnacentral:rRNA from 1 species